rnacentral:rRNA from 1 species
UAAUGCAGUCGAGCGAAUGGAUUGAGAGCUUGCUCUCAAGAAGUUAGCGGCGGACGGGUGAGUAACACGUGGGUAACCUGCCCAUAAGACUGGGAUAACUCCGGGAAACCGGGGCUAAUACCGGAUAACAUUUUGAACUGCAUGGUUCGAAAUUGAAAGGCGGCUUCGGCUGUCACUUAUGGAUGGACCCGCGUCGCAUUAGCUAGUUGGUGAGGUAACGGCUCACCAAGGCAACGAUGCGUAGCCGACCUGAGAGGGUGAUCGGCCACACUGGGACUGAGACACGGCCCAGACUCCUACGGGAGGCAGCAGUAGGGAAUCUUCCGCAAUGGACGAAAGUCUGACGGAGCAACGCCGCGUGAGUGAUGAAGGCUUUCGGGUCGUAAAACUCUGUUGUUAGGGAAGAACAAGUGCUAGUUGAAUAAGCUGGCACCUUGACGGUACCUAACCAGAAAGCCACGGCUAACUACGUGCCAGCAGCCGCGGUAAUACGUAGGUGGCAAGCGUUAUCCGGAAUUAUUGGGCGUAAAGCGCGCGCAGGUGGUUUCUUAAGUCUGAUGUGAAAGCCCACGGCUCAACCGUGGAGGGUCAUUGGAAACUGGGAGACUUGAGUGCAGAAGAGGAAAGUGGAAUUCCAUGUGUAGCGGUGAAAUG